rnacentral:rRNA from 1 species
UACGGAGGGAGCUAGCGUUGUUCGGAAUUACUGGGCGUAAAGCGCACGUAGGCGGCUAUUCAAGUCAGGGGUGAAAGCCCGGGGCUCAACCCCGGAACUGCCUUUGAAACUAGGUAGCUAGAAUCUUGGAGAGGUCAGUGGAAUUCCGAGUGUAGAGGUGAAAUUCGUAGAUAUUCGGAAGAACACCAGUGGCGAAGGCGACUGACUGGACAAGUAUUGACGCUGAGGCGCGACAGCGUGGGGAGCAAACAGG